UACGGAGGGGGCUAGCGUUGUUCGGAAUUACUGGGCGUAAAGCGCACGUAGGCGGCUUUGCAAGUCAGAGGUGAAAGCCCGGGGCUCAACCCCGGAAUUGCCUUUGAGACUGCAUCGCUAGAAUUGUGGAGAAGGUAAGUGGAAUUCCGAGUGUAGAGGUGAAAUCGUAGAUAUUGGAAGAACACCAGUGGCGAAGGCGACUUACUGGACACAUAUUGACGCUGAGGUGCGAAAGCGUGGGGAGCAAACAGG
rnacentral:rRNA from 1 species